ACGAACGCUGGCGGCGUGCUUAACACAUGCAAGUCGAACGGAAAGGCCCUGCUUUUGUGGGGUGCUCGAGUGGCGAACGGGUGAGUAACACGUGAGUAACCUGCCCUUGACUUUGGGAUAACUUCAGGAAACUGGGGCUAAUACCGGAUAGGAGCUCCUGCUGCAUGGUGGGGGUUGGAAAGUUUCGGCGGUUGGGGAUGGACUCGCGGCUUAUCAGCUUGUUGGUGGGGUAGUGGCUUACCAAGGCUUUGACGGGUAGCCGGCCUGAGAGGGUGACCGGCAAAAUUGGGACUGAGAUACGGCCCAGACUCCUACGGGAGGCAGCAGUGGGGAAUAUUGCACAAUGGGCGGAAGCCUGAUGCAGCAACGCCGCGUGCGGGAUGACGGACUUCGGGUUGUAAACCGCUUUCGCCUGUGACGAAGCGUGAGUGACGGUAAUGGGUAAAGAAGCACCGGCUAACUACGUG
rnacentral:rRNA from 1 species